rnacentral:antisense_RNA from 1 species
GGGUGCCUGGACAUGUCUGUUCCGGGCCACCCGGUGCAGACAAAGAAAAGGCCCCACCCGACGUUAAUCAAAGUGAGGCCUAUCUGUAUGCGUAACAACAUCAGGUUAGCCUCUUACCCGCCGCAAGGCAAGGAUUUGGAGGCCAGUAU